rnacentral:rRNA from 1 species
GAUGAACGCUGGCGGCGUGCCUAAUACAUGCAAGUCGAGCGAACGGACGAGAAGCUUGCUUCUCUGAUGUUAGCGGCGGACGGGUGAGUAACACGUGGAUAACCUACCUAUAAGACUGGGAUAACUUCGGGAAACCGUAGCUAAUACCGGAUAAUAUUUUGAACCGCAUGGUUCAAAAGUGAAAGACGGUCUUGCUGUCACUUAUAGAUGGAUCCGCGCUGCAUUAGCUAGUUGGUAAGGUAACGGCUUACCAAGGCAACGAUGCAUAGCCGACCUGAGAGGGUGAUCGGCCACACUGGAACUGAGACACGGUCCAGACUCCUACGGGAGGCAGCAGUAGGGAAUCUUCCGCAAUGGGCGAAAGCCUGACGGAGCAACGCCGCGUGAGUUAUGAAGGUCUUCGGAUCGUAAAACUCUGUUAUUAGGGAAGAACAUAUGUGUAAGUAACUGUGCACAUCUUGACGGUACCUAAUCAGAAAGCCACGGCUAACUACGUG